AAGCUACUCUGUCCGUCUCAAAAUUCUUGUCUUAGAUUUGUCUAGAUACGAAUGUACCUAAUACUAAAACAUGACACGGAUGUACCUAAUAUUAAAACAUGACUUGAUACAUCCAUAUUUAGACAAAUUUAAGACAAAAAUUUCGGGACGAAGGGAGUACAAA
rfam:Triticum aestivum genome assembly, contig: Triticum_aestivum_CS42_TGACv1_scaffold_030545_1BL